rnacentral:rRNA from 1 species
GAUUAACGCUGGCGGCGUGCAUAACACAUUCAAGUCGAACGGGUGUAGAAAUACAUCAGUGGCGGACGGGUGAGUAACGCGUGAGCAAUCUACCUUCCAGUACGGAAUAACAACCGGAAACAGUUGCUAAUACCGUAUGAAACGGCAGCACCGCAUGGUGCAACCGUCAAAGGCUUGCUGCUGGAAGAUGAGCUUGCGUCUGAUUAGAUAGUUGGUGAGGUAGCGGCUCACCAAGUCGACGAUCAGUAGCCGGACUGAGAGGUUGAACGGCCACAUUGGAACUGAGAUACGGUCCAA